rnacentral:rRNA from 1 species
GGUCAAGCAUUAAGAGCGCAGGGUGGAUGCCUUGGCACUGAGAGCCGAUGAAGGACGUGAUAAGCUGCGAAAAGCUUCGGGGAGGAGCAAAUAUCCAUUGAUCCGGAGAUAUCCGAAUGGGGAAACCCACUUGAGCAAACCUCAAGUAUCCAUACGCCAAUCCAUAACGUAUGGAAGGGAACCGGGGGAACUGAAACAUCUAAGUACCCCGAGGAGAAGAAAGAAACCUCGAUUUCCAAAGUAGCGGCGAGCGAAAUGGAAAGAGCCCAAACCGUGGUGCGUGCACCGCGGGGUUGUGGACUGCAUAAGGUACUCGAAUCAAUAGCCGAACAGUUUUGGGAAAUCUGAUCAGAGAGGGUGAAAAUCCCGUAGGCGAAAUUGAUGAGAGGCUGGCAGGAUCCAGAGUACCACGAGACACGGGAAACCUUGUGGGAAGCAGGAGGGACCACCCUCCAAGGCUAAAUACUCCUCAGUGACCGAUAGCGCAUAGUACUGUGAAGGAAAGGUGAAAAGGACCCCGGGAGGGGAGUGAAAGAGAACCUGAAACCCUGUGUUUACAAGCUGUGGAAGUGCCUUAUGUGCACAACCGCGUACUUUUUGUAGAACGGUCCGGCGAGUUACGUUUACUGGCAAGGUUAAG